rnacentral:sRNA from 1 species
AAAGGAGUGCAGUGCGUAAUUUCUUCCUCUGAAUAUGUAGCUAAGGAGUUAGUGGUUCCCAUCCCAUCCAUAUCCCGGAGCUAACAUACUAAAUAGCAUUUAUUAUGAGUAGUUAGAACAUUUUCCUUCAUAUUCUCUAUUCUGAUGGGGAAUUGGAAGAAAGUCUUUUGCUGGAUACUAGUACUUUGAAGCAUGUAAGAGCGGAUACAGAGCUCAGUUGGGCAUCUGUAAGAGCAUGAGGAAUCCAAGUUUUUUAUGUUGGAUGGAUAGACAGGCCUAAGGAGAGGACGAAGAGAAAUAAGAGGA